GACGAACGCUGGCGGCGUGCUUAACACAUGCAAGUCGAGCGGGGUCCAACCGGUAGCAAUACCGGGGAAGACCUAGCGGCGAACGGGUGAGUAACACGUGAGCAACCUGCCCCGAAGUCUGGGAGUAACACCGGGAAACCGGGUGCUAAUAACCGGAUGCCCUCAUCGAGUCACCUGGCUUGAUGAGGAAAGAUUUAUCGCUUCGGGAGGGGCUCGCGACCUAUCAGCUUGUUGGCGGGGUAACGGCCCACCAAGGCUUCGACGGGUAGCUGGUCUGAGAGGACGACCAGCCACACUGGGACUGAGACACGGCCCAGACUCCUACGGGAGGCAGCAGUGGGGGAAUCUUGCGCAAUGGGCGAAAGCCUGACGCAGCAACGCCGCGUGGGGA
rnacentral:rRNA from 1 species